AGCGUAGGCGGCGCGGUAAGUCAGAUGUGAAAUCCCGGGGCUCAACCCCGGAACUGCAUCCGAUACUGCCGCGCUGGAGUAAUGGAGGGGUAGCUGGAAUUCACGGUGUAGCAGUGAAAUGCGUAGAUAUCGUGAGGAACACUCGUGGCGAAAGCGAGCUACUGGACAUUUACUGACGCUGAGGCUCGAAGGCCAGGGGAGCGAAAG
rnacentral:rRNA from 1 species